rnacentral:rRNA from 1 species
AGUGAACGCUGGCGGUAGGCCUAACACAUGCAAGUCGAACGGCAGCACAGUAAGAGCUUGCUCUUACGGGUGGCGGGUGGCGGACGGGUGAGGAAUACGUCGGAAUCUACUUUUUCGUGGGGGAUAACGUAGGGAAACUUACGCUAAUACCGCAUACGACCUACGGGUGAAAGCAGGGGAUCUUCGGACCUUGCGCGAUUGAAUGAGCCGAUGUCGGAUUAGCUAGUUGGCGGGGUAAAGGCCCACCAAGGCGACGAUCCGUAGCUGGUCUGAGAGGAUGAUCAGCCACACUGGAACUGAGACACGGUCCAGACUCCUACGGGAGGCAGCAGUGGGGAAUAUUGGACAAAGGGCGCAAGCCUGAUCCAGCCAUACCGCGUGGGUGAAGAAGGCCUUCGGGUUGUAAAGCCCUUUUGUUGGGAAAGAAAAGCAGCAGGUUAAUACCCCGCUGUUCUGACGGUACCCAAAGAAUAAGCACCGGCUAACUUCGUG